GUGAGGAAUAUUGGUCAAUGGGCGAGAGCCUGAACCAGCCAAGUCGCGUGAAGGAAGAAGGAUCUAUGGUUCGUAAACUUCUUUUGCAGGGGAAUAAAGUGCAGGACGUGUUCUGUUUUGUAUGUACCCUGAGAAUAAGGAUCGGCUAACUCCGUGCCAGCAGCCGCGGUAAUACGGAGGAUCCGAGCGUUAUCCGGAUUUAUUGGGUUUAAAGGGUGCGUAGGUGGUUUGAUAAGUCAGCGGUGAAAGUUUGCAGCUUAACUGUAAAAAUGCCGUUGAAACUGUCGGACUUGAGUGUAAAUGAGGUAGGCGGAAUGCGUGGUGUAGCGGUGAAAUGCAUAGAUAUCACGCAGAACUCCGAUUGCGAAGGCAGCUUACUAAGCUACAACUGACACUGAAGCACGAAAGCGUGGGGAUCAAACAGGAUUAGAAACCCGAGUCC
rnacentral:rRNA from 1 species